UGAAAAUAGCAAUUGUACAGAUUUAUUUUCGUUUUAAUACAUGAGGUGGUCAGAUUUAAAAACAGAUUUAGUUUAGUUCUAUUCAGUAAGACAUUUCUCCUAUGCACUAAUUGAAACUUUGAACUAACUUUUGCCAUUCAUGAAUUUUUAAUAAAGUAUUUUGAAAGGAUUUAUAAAUCUAACCAAAAAUUUGGAAAAAUACAGAUACGUGUUUGUCAUAUUAGGAGGCAAUAGCAUCAACCGCAGCACAAGCCCAGGGGAAAUCUUCAACGAUUUGAAAACGAUGGUGGAGGAACUACGGCAAUGCGGCGUGGAAAGAGUAUUUGUGUGCUCUAUUUUAGAAAGGGGACUACGUGGAUCUGGGAAAAAGGAUUAAGUAUCCAACUCAUUAUUGUCAAGACCUUGUGCAUCCGGGGACAAGUGGACUUAUUAAAAUACACAGUGCUGUAAUUCAUUGCUUUCAAUCAACAGUGCCAAGGAGUAUUGUCACGCGUAAAUGAAUAAAUGACUCGUUGUGAAGAAUU